AUUGAACGCUGGCGGCGUGCUUAACACAUGCAAGUCGAGCGGUAAGGCCCUUUCGGGGGUACACGAGCGGCGAACGGGUGAGUAACACGUGGGUGACCUGCCCUCAGCUCUGGGAUAAGCCUGGGAAACCGGGUCUAAUACCGGAUAUGACUCCAUGACGCAUGUUGUGGGGUGGAAAGCCUUGUGCGGCUGAGGAUGGGCCCGCGGCCUAUCAGCUUGUUGGUGGGGNGAUGGCCUACCAAGGCGACGACGGGUAGCCGGCCUGAGAGGGCGACCGGCCACACUGGGACUGAGACACGGCCCAGACUCCUACGGGAGGCAGCAGUGGGGAAUCUUGCGCAAUGGGCGAAAGCCUGACGCAGCGACGCCGCGU
rnacentral:rRNA from 1 species